UGCCAGCCGCCGCGGUAAUACGAACCGGACAAACGUUAUUCGGAAUUAUUGGGCUUGAAGGGUGUGUAGGCGGUCGCGUAGGUGGGGUGUGAAAUCCCUCGGCUCAACCGAGGAACUGCGCUCCAAACCCCGUGACUAGAGGGAGACAGAGGUAAGCGGAACUGAUGGUGGAGCGGUGAAAUGCGUUGAUAUCAUCAGGAGCACCAGUGGCGAAAGCGGCUUACUGGGUCUCUUCUGACGCUGAGACACGAAAGCUAGGGUAGCGAACGGGAUUAGAUA
rnacentral:rRNA from 1 species